AACGAACGCUGGCGGCAGGCUUAACACAUGCAAGUCGAACGCCCCGCAAGGGGAGUGGCAGACGGGGGAGUAACGCGUGGGAAUCUACCCAUCCCUACGGAACAACUCCGGGAAACUGGAGCUAAUACCGUAUACGACCUACGGGGGAAAGAUUUAUCGGGGAUGGAUGAGCCGUCGUUGGAUUAGCUAGUUGGUGGGGUAAAGGCCUACCAAGGCGACGAUCCAUAGCUGGACUGAGAGGAUGAUCAGCCACAUUGGGACUGAGACACGGCCCAAGCUCAUUCAGGAGGAAGCAGUGGAGAAUAUUGGACAAUGGGCGCAAGCCAGAUCCAGCCAUGCAGGUUGAGUGAUGAGUGUCUUAGGAUUGUAAAGCUCUUUCACCGAUGAAGAUAAUGACGGUAGUCGGAGAAGAAGCCCCGGCUAACUUCGUGCCAGCCGCCGCAGUAA
rnacentral:rRNA from 1 species